UGACAGUACUCCUACGGGGAGGCAGCAGUGGGGGAAUAUUGCACAAUGGGCGCAAGCCUGAUGCAGCCAUGCCGCGUGUAUGAAGAAGGCCUUCGGGUUGUAAAGUACUUUCAGCAGUGAGGAAGGUGGGGUAUGUUAAUAGCAUACUCAUUUGACGUUAGCUGCAGAAGAAGCACCGGCUAACUCCGUGCCAGCAGCCGCGGUAAUACGGAGGGUGCGAGCGUUAAUCGGAAUUACUGGGCGUAAAGCGCAUGCAGGUGGUUUGUUAAGUCAGAUGUGAAAGACCCGGGGCUCAACCUCGGAAUUGCAUUUGAAACUGGCAAACUAGAGUACUGUAGAGGGGGGUAGGAAUUUCAGGUGUAGCGGUGAAAUGCGUAGAGAUCUGAAGGAAUACCGGUGGCGAAGGCGGCCCCCUGGACAGAUACUGACACUCAGAUGCGAAAGCGUGGGGAGCAAACAGGAUUAGAUACCCUGGUAG
rnacentral:rRNA from 1 species